GUAGGUGGCAAGCGUUGUCCGGAAUUAUUGGGCGUAAAGCGCGCGCAGGCGGUUCUUUAAGUCUGAUGUGAAAGCCCACGGGCUCAACCGUGGAGGGUCAUUGGAAACUGGAGAACUUGAGUACAGAAGAGGGAAGCGGAAUUCCACGUGUAGCGGUGAAAUGCGUAGAGAUGUGGAGGAACACCAGUGGCGAAGGCGGCUUUCUGGUCUGUAACUGACGCUGAGGCGCGAAAGCGUGGGGAGCAAACAGGAUUAGAUACCCUGGUAGUCCACGCCGUAAACGAUGAGUGCUAAGUGUUAGGGGGUUUCCGCCCCUUAGUGCUGCAGCUAACGCAUUAAGCACUCCGCCUGGGGAGUACGGCCGCAAGGCUG
rnacentral:rRNA from 1 species